GAUGAACGCUGGCGGCGUGCCUAAUACAUGCAAGUCGAGCGAACGGACGAGAAGCUUGCUUCUCUGAUGUUAGCGGCGGACGGGUGAGUAACACGUGGAUAACCUACCUAUAAUACUGGGAUAACUUCGGGAAACCGUAUCUAAUACCGGAUAAUAUUUUGAACCGCAUGGUUCAAAAGUGAAAGACGGUCUUGCUGUCACUUAUAGAUGGAUCCGCGCUGCAUUAGCUAGUUGGUAAGGUAACGGCUUACCAAGGCAACGAUGCAUAGCCGACCUGAGAGGAUGAUCGGCCACACUGGAACUGAGACACGGUCCAGACUCCUACGGGAGGCAGCAGUAGGGAAUCUUCCGCAAUGGGCGAAAGCCUGACGGAGCAACGCCGCGUGAGUGAUGAAGGUCUUCGGAUCGUAAAACUCUGUUAUUAGGGAAGAACAUAUGUGUAAGUAACUGUGCACAUUUUGACGGUACCUAAUCAGAAAGCCACGGCUAACUACGUG
rnacentral:rRNA from 1 species